GACGAACGCUGGCGGCGUGCCUAACACAUGCAAGUCGAGCGAAUGAAGUUCCUUCGGAAAUGGAUUUAGCGGCGGACGGGUGAGUAACACGUGGGCAACCUGCCUCAUAGAGGGGAAUAGCCUUCCGAAAGGGAGAUUAAUACCGCAUAAGAUUGUAGUACCGCAUGGUACAGCAAUUAAAGGAGCAAUCCGCUAUGAGAUGGGCCCGCGGCGCAUUAGCUAGUUGGUGAGGUAACGGCUCACCAAGGCGACGAUGCGUAGCCGACCUGAGAGGGUGAUCGGCCACAUUGGGACUGAGACACGGCCCAGACUCCUACGGGAGGCAGCAGUGGGGAAUAUUGCACAAUGGGGGAAACCCUGAUGCAGCAACGCCGCGUGAGUGAUGACGGCCUUCGGGUUGUAAAGCUCUGUCUUCAGGGACGAUAAUGACGGUACCUGAGGAGGAAGCCACGGCUAACUACGUGCCAGCCGCCGCGGUAAAAC
rnacentral:rRNA from 1 species